rnacentral:rRNA from 1 species
UGGGGAAUAUUGGACAAUGGGGGCAACCCUGAUCCAGCAAUGCCGCGUGAGUGAUGAAGGCCUUAGGGUUGUAAAGCUCUUUCGCGCGCGACGAUGAUGACGGUAGCGCGAGAAGAAGCCCCGGCUAACUUCGUGCCAGCAGCCGCGGUAAUACGAAGGGGGCGAGCGUUGUUCGGAAUUACUGGGCGUAAAGGGCGCGCAGGCGGCCGAUCAAGUCAGGCGUGAAAGCCCCGGGCUUAACCUGGGAAUUGCGCUUGGGACUGGUUGGCUUGAGUUCGGGAGAGGAGAGUGGAAUUCCCAGUGUAGAGGUGAAAUUCGUAGAUAUUGGGAAGAACACCGGUGGCGAAGGCGGCUCUCUGGACCGAUACUGACGCUGAGGCGCGAAAGCGUGGGGAGCAAACAGGAUUAGAUACCCCCGUAGUCC